GUUUGGGUUGUUGUGCUCACACGUCUGGAGUGAGCGCUCAUUACGUAUUUGGCUCUGGUAGUGUACGUUUCGUUUUCAUAUAAUUGACGGCGGUUCGCGUUUGUUUUCAUCAACGAGCAUUUCAACUCGAUAGUACGUUCAUUCGUCAAUUAAUCAACUUAAUGCAAAAUAAAAUUUUCGUGUGCGUUAAGAAAAAUUUGAAACAUUUUUUUCUUGCGUGCUAAGAGAAUAUUUUGUCGUGUUCUUUAAUUGUAAAAAAUACGAGCAAAAAUAUAAGAAUAUUUGUGUUUUAAGAAAUGAGAUAGAAGAAGUGUAUAUCAUGAAGCUGGUUUAAAGCAAAUGGACGGUGAUAUAUGAAGUGAAUAAUUUCUUGAAUUUUUAAAACAAAAAUAUUGAAUUGGAAGUGGUAAAUAUUGAGCUACAAAGUAAAAUUGUGAAAAAUGUUAGCAGAACUAUUAAAAAUAAUAAACACGAGCUUGAAAUGCAGUAUAAAAAAUGUUGGUGAAAAUAAUAAUUAUUGAAGAAAAGGCAAAUAAGAGUCAAACAAACACAUAGUCCUACAUUGCGACUCAAUGAAAAUAUCGAGUAAGCAAAAAAGUUUCAAAUUAAAGUAACAAUAAAACACCAUUAUAAAACAAGGUGGGUUAACAAUAAAGCUAAAAAAAUAUAUUGAAACUAAAUAUAAUGAAAAUCAUGCGCUGAAUGCCAUGCCGAGAAAGAUAAUAAAGAUUGCAACAGUGAACAAAAAAAUAAAUAAAUUAAACCUGCAAAUAUGAUUUAUGGAAAAGUGAGCGCCAAACACUAGAGCAAAAGUGAAAUUGAAAACAGAAUGUGCACAUAACGACAACAAUUAAUAAGCAUUAAAGUGGAAUAAUCGGAAUUUAGGAAAAUAAUUAUUAAAGAUUAUUAUUAUUAUUGACGUAGAGUGGCACAUAUAAAAAUGUUUUCCUAAUAAUUUCAAAUGUGUAAAAAAUAUAAAAGUUAUUAUACCUACUGAUAAUAGCGUAUUGAGUGAAAUUAUGAAUUGAAUUUUUAUUGAAAGAAUAAUACAAUUUUCCAAUUAUUUGAAAAAUAGUGAAACAAUUUGGAGAAACAGAUUACUACAAGUGAUAUUAUUUUAUUUGUAACUAUAAAAUCGAUGUAUUUCAAAUUAACGCCAAACAAAUUGUUGUAAUGGAAUAUACAUAUUCAACAAAUACAUAGGAGACAAUAUGUUUCCAAUUUACGGAUACGUAACUUCGCUUUCUCCUUAAUGACAUUCCGUUAUGUGGCAGCUGAAUUAAAUUAUUUAUACAAAAAGUGCAGUAUUCGAAAAUAAUCAACUUUUACAACAAUCGUGCGCAUCAAUCAUACAAUUUGCGUUACGUCACACGAACGACCAUCUCACCCAAUACCCAUAAGCCUAGGCGUCACGCUAGCAGACACAUCAUGCCGUACGCAUACAUUUCAACUUCAAACAACAUACCUACACCGCACUCACCCGAGAGUAAAAUGCCAGCAAAGACAACGUCGUCACAGACGUCAUUCGCAGUGACACACCCCCACACGUUGCACAGUUUACAGCAAUUGCUGCUGCCACUCAAAAUCAUCGCCUUUAUCAGCAUCGUCGUCUCGUCGUCAUCAUUGAUCUGCGUGACGCAGGCUAAACACCUGUCAAACGAUGCCAAUAUUGGUGCUGGCGACAUGGCGGCACUAGACGACGCAUAUUCUGCCUCCAUGCCGUCUAUCUCCUCAUCGUCUUCGUAUUAUGGCGCUUAUCAAAAUCAACGCUUCGCUAUGGAACCUCAAGACCAGUCAGCUGUGGUGGGUGCACGUGUUACGUUACCGUGUCGCGUCAUCAAUAAACAGGGCGUACUACAGUGGACGAAAGAUGAUUUUGGUUUGGGUACAUCACGUGAUUUGGGCGGUUUUGAGCGUUACUCAAUGAUUGGUAGCGAUGAAGAGGGUGAUUACUCGUUGGAUAUUUAUCCGGUGAUGUUGGACGAUGAUGCACGCUAUCAAUGUCAAGUGAGUCCAGGACCGGAAGGUCAACCGCCCAUACGUUCGACAUUUGCAACAUUGACGGUGUUGGUGCCACCGGAGGCGCCUAAAAUUACACAAGGCGAUGUGAUUUACACAACAGAGGAUCGAAAAGUGGACAUUGAGUGUGUGUCGGUGGGCGGUAAACCAGCAUCGGAGAUAACGUGGAUUGAUGGACUUGGCAACGUUAUAACGAGUGACAUUGACUACACUACGUUACAGAUGCCGGAUGAACGUCGCUUCACCGCUCAAUCGACAUUGCGGUUGACACCGAAAAAGGAGCAUCACAAUACGACAUUCACUUGUCAGGCACAAAAUACGGCAGAUCGUACAUAUCGCUCGGCGCGAAUACGUGUGGAGGUAAAAUACGCACCAAAAGUUAAAGUCAACAUAAUUGGCGGUGCGUUGGAGGAUGGACGUAUACCGGAGUUUGCUCAGGUGCGAUUAGAGUGCAAAGCGGAUGCCAAUCCCAGUGAUCUGCGUUAUCGCUGGUUCAUCAACGAUGAACCAAUUGUUGGUGGACAAAAAACUGAAAUGGUUAUUCGAAAUGUUACACGCAAAUUUCAUGAUGCCAUCGUCAAGUGUGAAGUCCAAAAUUCAGUGGGCAAGAGUGAAGAUAGUGAAACGCUGGACAUCAGCUAUGCACCAAGCUUUCGCCAGCGUCCACAAUCUAUCGAAGCGGAUGUCGGUACUUUGAUAUCGCUAAGUUGUGAAGUUGAUGGAAAUCCCACGCCAGAUAUUGUAUGGAUUCAACAUCCAAGUGAUCGGGUUGUUGGCAUCAACUCCAAUCUCACCUUCACCGUUAGCAAUGAGACAGCUGGGCGUUAUUAUUGCAAAGCGAAUGUACCUGGCUACAAAGAAAUCACCACCGAUGCGUAUGUUUAUCUAAAAGGUUCACCAACCAUUUACUCGCCACCCUAUCAAUUUGGCUGGGUGGGCGAUACGGCGCGUAUUGAGUGUUCGGCAACUUCUGUACCACGUGCACGUCACGUCUCGUGGACAUUUAACGGGCACGAAAUCAAUGCUGAAUAUGGGCACGACUAUUCAAUACUGGUGGAUCCGGUGCCGGGUGGCGUCAAAUCGACGCUGAUCAUUCGUGACAGUCAAGCGUAUCAUUAUGGCAAGUACAAUUGCACUGUGGUGAACGAUUACGGGAAUGAUGUGUUGGAAAUCAAUUUGCAGGCGCAAAAAAAAAUUUCGCCCAUGAUGAUUAUUAUUGGCGGCACCUCAGUCGUUGGCUGUGCCAUGAUCCUCAUCAUUAUCAUUAUCGUCUACUUCAAGUGCAAGAAACGCACCAAACUGCCGCCGGCUGAUGUUAUUAGCGAACACCAGAUAAGUAAAAAUGGUGGUGUGGCCUGUAAAAUGGAAGCUGGCGAUCGUACAUCCAAUUACAGUGACCUCAAAGUGGACAUCUCCGGUGGUUAUGUACCUUACGGCGACUAUUCCACACACUACAGUCCGCCACCGCAAUAUCUCACCACCUGCUCAACCAAAUCGAAUGGCAGCUCGACCAUAUUACAAAAUAAUCAUCAUAAUCAUUUGCAACAGCAGCAUAUGCAACAAACGCUCCAACAUCAGCAUCAUCAGCAGCAUCAACAAACACCACCACCACCACCGACGCAAAUAGUACCAAUGACAUUCCUUUCGAAUGGCAGUGCGAGCGGUAGUCUGACGAGUAGUAUUGUCGGUUCGCGUGAAAUACGACAGGAUAAUGGCUUGCCGAGUCUACAAUCGACGACUGCGUCUGUGGUGAGUUCAUCGCCGAAUGGCAGUUGUAGUAAUCAGAGUACAGCGACGCAUGUCAUCUCUAGUUCGGUGGCGAUGAGCGUGGAUCCACGCUACAGCGCCAUUUAUGGUAAUCCAUAUUUGAGAUCAUCGAAUUCAUCGCUCUUGCCGCCACCAACUGCGGUUUAGAGUAUAAAUAUCAUGCAAUAAGUACUUUGGUAGCUUCGUCUGUUGUAGAACGGCAAACUAUAGAAUUGAAAGACUGAUCUCAAAAGCAUAAAAAAUUGUGUGUACGGCAAAUGCGUUUUGACAACAUCGUCGGCAGCCUUAUUCAAAUGGUUACGAACGGUUUGUUGUGUCACCUUUAGCUCUGGGGCAAUCGAAACGGUGCUAACAUGACGGCCGGACUCGACAAAUGUUCAUAGUCUUACCGACUUAUAAUGGAUUAAUUUUUACUACACCUAAUA
rnacentral:misc_RNA from 1 species